rnacentral:rRNA from 1 species
UACGUAGGGUCCGAGCGUUGUCCGGAAUUACUGGGCGUAAAGAGCUCGUAGGUGGUUUGUCGCGUUGUCCGUGAAAACUCACAGCUCAACUGUGGGCGUGCGGGCGAUACGGGCAGACUGGAGUACUGCAGGGGAGACUGGAAUUCCUGGUGUAGCGGUGGAAUGCGCAGAUAUCAGGAGGAACACCGGUGGCGAAGGCGGUUCUCUGGGCAUGUCCUGACGCUGAGGAGCGAGAGUGUGGGGAGCAAACAGG